AAAAAAAUCUUUUUCUACAUUUCUACUUCUCUGUGAUAACUAGCUGGAGUGUAGGAGUAUUUCAUUAAAAAAUAAAUGGAGACAGAAGAACUUCCUAUUCGAGUCUAUCAGUGAUUAAAUGAAUUUGACAUUUUUAUCUUGAAUGAAAGUGAAUUUCAAGUGCUACUGUGAAGAACUCUCACCAAGCAUAUAAUUGGAGCUUGUCAAACAAAAACUUCCUUCUAUUGCUGUUUAAAAAAUAAAAAUCAGGUCAUCUUCUAAAUUAAAGCAAAACUGAAACAAAUGGCAAACAAAAAUCAACAAAAAGACAGGAUUUGUAACUAAAAGAAAGCUGCCUAUUCUGUUUUUUAUGUACAGAAAUAUUCUGAAAAGUGUACAAAUGCCAUAAAUUUUUUUUCAAAUCUGGCUGUUCUGUACAAUCUCUAUUCCUCUGUCACAGUAUCCACUGGUCUCUCUUAGCUUAUGCUGUGGUAUUAAAGACCCUAAAAGUCAGUUGGUUUUGCAACAAACAUGUAAAGUGCUUUCUUUCUGCAUUAAAAAUGACCUAAGAAAAUUUUUUUGCCUAUAAAGAGAAAUUUUGGGGGUUACCUGUUGGAGGUUUAACAGGAGAAACCAAGAAAAAAAAAUUAUCAAAGCAUUAAGUCAGUAAUUAGAUAUCUGUGUUUACAGUACUAUCCAGGUUUAUGUGUAAUCCCAACCCCUUUUUUUUGUGUCUGGUGUAAACAAGUGGGGUCCUGCAGCAGUGCAGGGCUGGAUGAACAACAAUAAAAUGGUCCUCAUCAUAGCCAAUAAUUUGGCUUUUGAUGCUACUCUAACCACAAACAGUGGUGUAAGGACGUUCUCAUGCUUGCAUGAGCUCUGCAGUGGCAUUUUUCCAUUGUCACAACUGUUUUUAAAAAAAACCAACAAAAUCUUUCUUGGCAUUCAGUCAGUUUUACCUGACUAUAUUUGCAUGCAAUGAUUUUGCCUCCAUCUUUUAUCACAUAUGCUGUAAUAUUAUAGUGCUGGAGCUCAGGGUGUUUGUUUGUUUGAGCAGAAGACAAAAAAAAAUGCAAAAGCCAACUGAUAGGGUAAAAAAUGCACCCUUCAUCCCACAGAUCUGUGUCAUAUUAUUAUGUAGAGAUCGUUGUUUUUUCUCUCCAACCCUUGAAUUUAUCAUUUCCCUCUCUAGCUCUUUCCAUCAAUAUCCAUGGAUUUUGUUUCCCUCUUCUCCUCCCAUAUUGCCAUUUUAAACGUUUGUCCUGUGUUUGUAUGGGAAUUCUAGGAAGCACUCAUGUAGUUUAGGAUCCUCUGGGAACUUUUUAACAUUGUGUGCUCCUGUUUGAAGGCUUAGCUGAAAUCUUGCUGUCUGAGCUGCAGCUUCCUCAGCUGUAUUUUUUCCAGGUUGUCUGACAAAUGCUGUCCAGUAAAUAUAUUCUCUUGCCUGCUGUGAUGCAAAAAUUACUUCCCUGCUUGUCUCCCUAGAAAAUAUUUUUUCUAAGAGAGUGGUAGUUGCUAGGAUAGAGAAAGACUGCUGUAUUUUGAACAGAUUUUUUAUUAACUGUUUUAAUAGGUUUGAUGUUCCUUUGUUUCAGUCAAAGAAAUGCCUCUGCAGUGGGUUUGGAUGGCACAUCUCACCUGGAAACUGUUGCUAAGUGAAACUUACUUUUGUUGGCGAAUAAUUUUUGUUGGAGCAUCUAUCAGUAAGAAAAUGGGAAGCAGAAUCACAGACAAGGAAGCAACAGGGCUGGGAAUGGUGGGCUGUCUCGUUCAUAUUUGGAGAUGAAGUGCCAUCAAGAAGGUUCUUUCUUUUGCUGUCUGUCCCUGGUGCUCUCCAAUGGUGCCCCAGACUUGUUGCAGGUGGACAAAUAUCAAAAUCGAUGACUGAAUAUGGGAUCAAGCUUCAGUGGAGGGAAGACAGACUGUAUUAAUAUGGGUGCCAUGC